rnacentral:rRNA from 1 species
CUCAACCUGAAUUGUGCUCAGGCUCGUUUUGUGCAGGAUAGGUGGGAGGCUUUGAUCCAUUGCUUGCGGCUAACGGGGAGCCACUGGUGAGAUACCACUCUUUCCAAGCUAUAGUUCUAACCCUGACCCGUUAUCCGGGGAGGGAACACUAUCACGUGUGCACUUUGACUGGGGCGGUCGCCCCCCAAAAGGUAACGGAGACGAGUAAAGGUUCCCUCUCGCUGGGUGUAAAUCUCCCGACGAGAGCAAAGGGGUAAAGGAGCUUGACUGUGAGACCUACAACUCGAGCAGGGACGAAAGUCGGCGUUAUAGAUCCCACGGGUCUGCGUGUGAAGGGCGCCUCUCUCCGCAUAAAAAUUGCUCUCUGGAUAACACGCGGAGAAGCUCUAUAUA